rnacentral:sRNA from 2 species
UGCCAAGGAUCGCUGAAUUUCCAAGUGGAAAACGGGGGAACCAACCGCGACGACGAAUCAUUUGUUUGUCGCCUGGGGUGAAUCAGUGACGUUGUAAUGGACGUCACAGUAGGGCGACUCUAAACGCCCGAAUCCGUCAGCUAACCUCGUAAGCGUCGUUAGAGAGGGACA